CCUCCUUAAUGCCCUGUAUGUCCCUGAUCGGUAUGGGUAGUUUGGAUGGACUCGAGUCCCUGUACACAAGCACCCAACCAGGGGAGAUAACUCUCAUCUUCACUUCUGUUGCAGACAAGAAAGAGAAACAAAACAGUUUCUGAGUGCAUUUUGACAUUUAGCAAAAUGCCAAGAUGUUGAUUGUGUGUCGUAUUGACACACAGUCUUACUGUCAUCAGUUGUGUUGAAGUAUCUAAAUGUGUAACUGGUGACAUACGUAGUUGCUACUGAUUUUCUUUUGAUGUGUUAUCAAGGAAAAAGAUACAGCGAGUAUGGUUUUACCCUAAUGUUAGCAUUAUUCCAGAAAUGGGCUUCAUGGGUAUCAAUGAAGGGAAUCAGACCUGGGGCUUUAUCCUGGCCCCCUGAAAAAAAGAAAUGCGGGUGAUAUUGAUGUACAUAUAUGAAAGACAUUUGCACAUAAAUGAUAUGUGAAGAAUGAAUAGGAUGUCAUUUGUAGAAUCAUCAAAAUGCAGCUAGAACCAAAUAACUAACACAAAUAUUACAAAAUGAAAAAGAAAAAUGAGAACCACAAGAUUGAUCUGAGGGAGAAUGACAACUUUGGAAUAUUGUUUUGUUCAGUGAUGAUUUAUCCAUAUAUAUAUGUACUGUUUUGUUCAGUGAUGAUUUAUCCAUAUAUAUAUGGUUUUGCUCAGUGAUGAUUUAUCCAUAUAUAUACGGUUUUGUUCAGUGAUGAUUUAUCCAUAUAUAUACGGUCUGACGUCUCCUUACUGCCAACAACAUCUUGUGCCACCGUCCUGCUCGUGUACCCAUCCUGAGAGAUCGUCAUCGACAGGCCCGACUGCAAUGGGCAAGGCAGCAUCAAAAUUGGCGUCAACAGCAAUGGAGAAGAAUCAUCUUCACUGAUGAAAGUCCCUACUGUGUUUCAACGGUGGAUGGCAGUCAGGGUCUGGCAAAGGAGGGGCGAACAUUAUGCUGAUGCUUGUGUUAUGGAACGAGACCCGUGGGGCGGACCAAGCAUCAUGGUUUUGGGUGGAAUCGGACUGAACCAGAGAGUGGGAGCUGUGGUCUUUCAGAAUAUUGGUCCAGGCAGGGGUAAGGGCAUCACAGCUCUCUGCUACAUUGACCAAGUCCUCAGACUCCAUAUCGUGCCUUUUUUGGCCCGUCAUCAAAACCACACCUUUCAGCAAGACAACGCCCGUCCCCACACUGCCAGAGUCACCAGGGACUUCCUCCAGCAGCACAACAUCCAAAUCAUGCCUGGGCCUGCCCUCAGUCCGGAUUUGAAUCCCAUUGAACACUUGUGGGAUGAGAUCCAACGCCGACUCAACGACGUACGCCCAAGGCCGACAAAUGCAGCAGAACUGCGUGUAGCGUUCCUGAGGAUAUGGGCCCAUAUCCCAAUGGCCUACAUUAACAGACUUGUCCACUCCAUGUACAGGAGAUGUGUGGCUGUAGUCAACGCCCAUGGGUGGCCACACCAGGUCGGCUUGGCUGUAGACUGGACAGGAGGAGCCAUGCUCACGGCUCACCCAUCACAAAGACAUUUGACACCGGGGAUGAUUGUGACCACUUCAGUAACAGCCACUUCAGGGAGUAACGUCAACAGUGUCAAGGGGUCAACCAAUGGGAACAAGUCUCAGUCCAUACAAGGGCCCACUCAAGGCCAGGCAACAGCUCUCGUAGGGGGCAAGCCUGCUGUGAUGUCGGCCCAGGCUGCUGCCCAACCUCUAGUGCUGGGACAGAUAGGUGCCGUGUUCUCGGGACAAGGAACGAACAACCCUAACUUCGUGGCCCAGGUGGCGUCCUCCAAGGGCCAGGCAGUUUCCCUCUCCCACCCGGGCCAGCCACAGCUCAUCACAUCACAGGCGCCACUUCGGCUCAGUCAGCCACAGUUGGUCACAAACACAGGCCAGAUCAUCACAUCGCAGCCCAUGCUCACCAAUCAGGCUGUACUUCAGGCCAUGGCUAGUUUGCAGCAAGGCUUCCCAUUGGCUGCCCACCAGCCCCUAUUGAACCAUGCACAAUCCCCAGCCAUCCUGGCUGGCCAAUCACUGUAUAUCAGGACAGCUAAUCCCAUUCAGACACAGCAAAGCAUGAUGGCAGCUAAUAUGCAGGCAGCCUUGGCCAAUAGUAUGAAGGGUGGCAAGAUGGAGAUGCCACAGAACCUACAAGUAAACACAAAACCCAGUGGAGGUUCUUCAAAAAGCUCAUCACAAACUGGAAAAACACUCCUACCAUCUAAGGCAACCACUGCCAAAAUCCCACCUACUCACAUAUCUGGCCAAGCCACGAAACUGAACAUACCAACUGUCAUCCCCAAACAGUCAAAAGGACGGACAAAAUCCCAGUCCAAGUCCUCAUCGUCAGUCCCCUCCACCCCAACCAGUACAAAAACACCCCCUGUCAGUCACUCCAAACCAGCCACACCCACAAACCAACCCACCAUUGUUGUGCCCCCAGCAAAGAGCCAAUCAGAUUCUGAGGUGGAAAGGGCAAAGAAGUCGACACCACCUCCUGACAUUACUUCCACUAAGGAGAAGUCGGGGAGCGUGACUGUUGACGAAGGAAGCCCAGAGGAAAAGGACAAAGACGUUAUUGAUGACAAUGAUAAGCCACCAGUUAUCACGAAGGAGGUGGAGACGCCGAUGGACACAUCGAUGCCAGAUAAGCCGCCUCCACCGCUGGAGCCAGCCACAGUUGUGGAAAAGCAGAAAGCUAUUGUGAAGCCCCACAUCCUGACUCACAUCAUCGAGGGCUUCGUCAUACAGGAGGGACCAGAACCCUUCCCAGUGCAGCGGUCGUCCCUGCUGACGGAGUUCAUCCCCCCCAAACCUACUCGUACCGACAAGGACUCAGAUGAGGAGCUGAGUGAAUCCCUCAUGGACCUGCCGCCCCCGCUUCUGGAGCCUGAAGGCUUGCCAACACGGAGCAGCACCGAGACCCAACUGCAGCCCAAUAUGCUGAAGUGCGAGUACUGCGGCAAAAUGGCCACUGCCGUCAAGUUCCGGCGCUCUAAGCGGUUCUGCUCCAUGGCAUGUGCCAAGCGCUAUAACGUGGCCUGCUCUAGACGUGUUGGCUUGUUCAAGAACAAAGCAGGUACAGUGAAGCUGGUCAAGAAGAGGAAGCAUCCCCUGGCGGUUAGGAAAGGCUGGCGACCGGGAAGAGGGGGCCGCCUCGCUUACAACAUCAAUAUGAGACUGCCAGAGGAGGCCAGCAGUUCUAACAGUGGUCAGGAGGAGACCAGUUCCUCUCCCACCUCCCCUAUCCCCUUGCCGGACAUGGAGAUGGACACUCUCUCGCCAUCCUCAGAACCAUCCAAGUGGACGGUGAUGGAGGUGUAUGAGUUCAUCAAGUCGCUGCCGGGCUGCGCCACCUAUGCGGAGGAGUUCCUCUCCCAGGAGAUCGACGGCCAAGCACUGCUGUUGCUAAAGGAGGACCAUCUGAUGACGGCCAUGAACAUCAAGCUUGGCCCCGCUCUCAAGAUCUGUGCCCGCAUAUCCAGCCUCAAGGACGAGUGCGUGUAACACUCACAGUGCUGUGCUCAAAGACAGGCAAACCAUGUUAUACCUUGCUGUGCAACACUCCCGAGAUGGAAAACAUUUGUGAUUUGAAGAGACUGGUGUCACAACGUAAAUUGAUCCAUGGCAGGGGUGUGUCCCUGUGUGAUGACUGGACAUGGUUUGAACAGGCAGCUAUCACAUCAGUGGAACAUGUCAUAUCCAGCUGCGCCUGUAUCUUCCACCAAGCUGAGCCACAUGGCUUCAUACAUCAUCACCAGCCUUUAUAAACUAUACCAGCUCAUGUUGCACACAUGGACAUUGCUUUGUAGUUGAGAGCACAGCUUGUUGUUAGAGGUACACCUUCACCCAGAUGAGUUCUACAAGUGCAGUGCCAUUGCUCCUGUUCAAGUCAACAUUUGUAGAAUUGUUGGUCACACAAGACUGAUGGGUGUCAGUCAGGGCUUGUAGUAUGGGCCUAGACUCAACUAUACCAGAACCAAAGAUACAUGUGUAAGCAAUCCAGUUUCAGAUAAGAGUAAUAGUCAUUGGGAAAACAUCACCCCAAUUUACUGUUGUAUGUCAUUUUACAUGUUACAUCCUUUCUAUGUAGUGUAAUUAGCCCCAUGUAACUACACAGUAUCCUGUACCUAUUUAGUCACCUAUUCAUUAUGUAUGAGCCAAGCAACAGUCAUCCACACCCGACCUGUCUACCCAGAGUUCCCUCCCCUGUGCCAGGCCUUGUGGUAAGGCAGGACACAAAUGUUCUACAGUCUCUGUAACAAUAGUGCUGAACUGAACCAUUACUCAUUCUAAGAGGCAUUAUGCUGUAACACACUCAAAAUGUUGAUAGUAAAUCCACUCCUGUCUGGGGCCUGUGGAGCUUUCCACUGGAAGGGUGUCUUGCCUCAGUAGCUUUCUCCGGGUUAAAGAGAUUUAUAGUAAGAUGGGAUUGUUUCCGGUCUCUCAUAAAAAAUAGUUUGAUGGCACUCACUGAAUAUUCUAUUUAUUGUACAAUUCAAGGUAUACAUGCAUGUUUCUUCUCAAACAGCACUGAAUACCAUAAAUGUUAGGAAACUGUUCCAGUUUUAGAAAUAGAAAAAAACACUUGUUCCUGAUGACUGCAAAACAAGAUCUAAAAAGAUUUCUAAUUGUUUGUUUAAUCGGAUUAAUUCAUAUCAUGAGUUGCUCAAUAUUUAUUUCAUCAAUGGUGUGAUAUUAUUUACUGGUAGAGAAGUGAUCAUCUAACAUAUUUUGGGGCACAAGAUUUCAGAGGCUUCAGGUUCUCCUUUUAGAAUUGUUUGUUCCAUACACAAGAUGGUUUCCAGGAGAUAAGACUUCAAAAGGAUCAUUUUAAGAAUUUCAGGAUCUUUCAGAUAUUUUUGUAUUUGAAAUAGAACUUUACCAUGAUGCUAGUGAUUACCGUGCAGCACAUUUUAAAGUUGUAAUCAAUAUAGCUUUAGUUAUGCCAACUGUGGAUCUAUUAUGCAUAAUUUUAUUAUUGACCAUAUUCAUCCAGGAAUGAUAGACCACAAUACCGUAUCAUUCUCACACUUUUUUACUGUCAUGACCAACAUGCUUGAAUCUCACACCUUGCCAAUGUUAAACCUUGUACAUAAGCAGAAACCUACAACUGUACAUACAGCUUUGUAAUAUUUGUAGCAUUGUCAUUUUCUACUUCACAGAAUCUGUAGCAACCCGCCUCCUUAUUAACUUUUCAAUAUGUAAAAUAACUACUUAGCCUACUGCCAGGUCAAAGCAUGUGAUGAUGUUCACUGCCGGGUCAAAGCAUGUGAUGAUGUUCACUGCCAGGUCAAAGCAUGUGAUGAUGUUCAUUGCCUGGUCAAAGCAUGUGAUGAUGUUCACUGUCAGGUCCAAGCAUGUGAUGAUGUUCACUGCUGGAUUAAAGCAUGUGAUGAUGUUCACUGCCAGGUCAAAGCAUGUGAUGAUGUUCACUGCCAGGUCAAAGCAUGUGAUGAUGUUCACUGCUGGAUUAAAGCAUGUGAUGAUGUUCACUGCCAGGUCAAAGCAUGUGAUGAUGUUCACUGCAAGGUCAAAGCAUGUGAUGAUGUUCACUGCCGAAUUAAAGCAUGUGAUGAUGUUCACUGCCAGGUCAAAGCAUGUGAUGAUGUUCACUGCCAGGUCAAAGCAUGUGAUGAUGUUCACUGCCGGAUCAAAGCAUGUGAUGAUGUUCACUGCCAGGUAAAAGCAUGUGAUGAUGUUCACUGCCAGGUCAAAGCAUGUGAUGAUGUUCACUGCCGGAUUAAAGCAUGUGACAGUGUUCAUUGCCAGGUCAAAGCAUGUGAUGAUGUUCACUGCCGGGUCAAAGCAUGUGAUGAUGUUCACUGCCGGAUUAAAGCAUGUGACAUUGUUCACUGCCAGGUCAAAGCAUGUGAUGAUGUUCACUGCCGGGUCAAAGCAUGUGAUGAUGUUCGCUGCCGGGUCAAAGCAUGUGGUGAUGUUCACUGCCGGGUCAAAGCAUGUGAUGAUGUUCACUGCCGGAUCACUCGUCACGAUAUGGCUGAAAUAUUGCCGAUGUAAUGUAAAGCUUUAACUCACUCACUCACUGCCGGAUCAAAGCAUGUGAUGAUGUUCACUGCGAGUUCAAAGCAUGUGAUGAUGUUCACUGCCAGUUCAAAGCUUGUGAUGAUGUUCACUGCCAGGUCAAAGCAUGUGAUGAUGUUCACUGCCGGGUCAAAGCAUGUGAUGAUGUUCACUGCCAGUUCAAAGCAUGUGAUGAUGUUUACUGCCAGAUUAAAGCAUGUGAUGAUGUUCACUGCCAGGUCAAAGCAUGUGAUGAUGUUCACUGCCGGGUCAAAGCAUGUGAUUGUGUUCACUGCCGGAUUAAAGCAUGUGGUGAUGUUCACUGCCGGGUCAAAGCAUGUGAUUGUGUUCACUGCCGGAUUAAAGCAUGUGGUGAUGUUCACUACCGGGUCAAAGCAUGUGAUUGUGUUCAUUGCCAGGUCAAAGCAGAUGGUCGUGUUCACUGACUGUAUGCUUGUAGUGAUAUCUGAUAGAUACUGGGAUCGUCUCUGUGCGUAAUGGAGCAAGGGAGGCCACCUUUUGUUUAACAUGUCAUCAAAAAACAGGUGUACUUUGUCAUUAUCGUUUCCUUUUGUUAAACUUACAUAGUCAUCAAUGUGUGUCUUGUGCCAUUUUGUUGAAGUAUCUGUACAAUUUUAUUGUGUGGCUUGAUCAGUUCAUGUCCUACCAUACACUCAGUGAUAAAUAGUUGUCUCCGGGUAGAUCAGUUUCUGGUUGCAGGGUGUAUGGUAUCAGAAAAUAAGGGACAACUUAUAGCCUAUCAUCAUCUGUACUUCCAGGGCUAACAUCUUGGUCAACCUGCACUAACCCCUGGAUUCGUUCCUGUGGUUCUCGCAAUCUCAAGUAACACCACCUUGAUUUUAAUUUGGCAAUUUGAUUGGCUACACUACUAGGUCUAACGUACCAAUCAGAAUGUGAGUUACAAACCAGUCUCAAAGUUGGGUUGGCCAGUUCUAUUGAGUAUGGUUGGGAACGCGAGAAAUUCAACAUUCAAAAACUGACUGAAUUUAUUUUUUUUAAUGGAAAGGAUGUCUUCAUGUCCAUUAAAACUGGUGGUGGCUUUGGUUUCUAGGUAAUAUAGUUACCUCCCUGUUGAUGUUAGAUUGGUCGGUAAAGUGUCAUUGAAAAUCAAGGGUGGGUUAUUUGCGAUGGCAAAAACCUCGGGGAUGAAUCCAUGGGUUAGUGUAGGUUUAUUGAAAUGCUAGCCCUGGAGAUUUAGAGGAUGAUACAUACAGUAUAAAAAAAACAAAACAUUUGUACAAUACAGUGAGGUGCAGUGGAUUGUCAAGUGGUUAAAGCAUUUCGGCACUGUGCCACUCUCCAUGUGGGUAACAUACUAAAAGCAGUGAAAAAACUUGCACCCUCAAUACACUGCAGAUGUUAACCAUCCUGUCUUGUGUGUUUUGUAUGCUUCUGUAUUUUUCUUUGUUAAUGCUGAGACCAAGUCUGUAGACUUACUUAUUUAUGGUGCUGAAUAAAUAUCAUACAGCAAA
rnacentral:misc_RNA from 1 species